GAUGCCCCAUUUGAUGCGACCUUCAUACAAUUGGAAGAUAGCGUUGUUUAUAAUCCGUGAGUUCGUUUUCAUCCUCUUUUUAAUUCCAGGUCUCUAGUUGAUACAGGUGUGUUUAUUUGGUUUCUCCUGCUUUUGUUUCAAACCACGUCUGCAGAAAAAGAAUUUAAAGAACAAAAAAAUCGAAGAAUCACAGACAACUACUAAAGAUAGGUAGUUUAAGAUUAGAUUUCAAGUGUUGAAAGCUCUGAACAUGAACUAUGGAUGCAGGUAAGUUAAGCCAUGUUGCUAAGAUGUGCAACGGGGUGCGUGAGAGUAUUAAUUAGUAAGGGAUAUAUUGGGAAUAUUAGCAGGAUAACAAUAAGGACUUAGUGGUAAUUAGGUGGUGCAUUUGUUAUAAAUAAGGGGAGUUGGGCACCUUAGGAGGGAAUCAUAGUUUCUAGUGAUUGGACGUCGGAGAGACAUAGCCCUCUCAAAAAACCGUUGAUUUUGAAAUUUAUUAUCAAUAGUACAUUGUAGACAUCUUAAGUGAUAUUUUCUGUGUUUUGGUAUCCUAACAGUGGCCUAUUGGGCCAUUUCUUCCUCUAGGCUAUGUUUUCACCCUUGAGAAAACUAGAUGAUUUAUAGAGUGACAAGACAGAAGGACAAAUGAACUUCUGAGGUGGUCUUUAUUGGAAGAAUUGCUAUUACGAUUCCCAGUUAGUGUUGUAGCCUAAGGAAUUGAAGGAGACCAUUCUUCAAAAAUCAAAUCAAAUAUCAAUAAAAAAAAAAUAUUGAAUACAUGAUACCACAGGCAAGAAACUACAAAUUAAAAUACAAAAAAGAAACUAAAAAGGGAAACUGUAAUUUAAACAGGAAACUAAAAGGAUCAUUCGAGGAUUUAACCAAGAGAAAUAUGAAUUCUGCAUUAGUUGGCUAGCUUUCCCAGCGGUUUGGUUUGCUCCCUUACUAUGUGGUCGGGGAUUUUGGAUGCUCUGUGAUGUGGCCACGCUGCCCAUCUAUACACAAUGACAUUUUUUUUUUCUUAAAUAUAGAACUAGUUGAUUGACGAUAAAGUCAAAUCUGUUAACGACGCCUGUACUUUUGAAAAGGUUCUAGUUUUAAAUCACUUAGAGCAGUUUGACAUGGUUAUCUCUAUCAAUUGAACAUCGUUGUUUUGGACUACUACUAGUGAUGUUGAAACCAUAACAUCACAUUGGUUUUACUUUGAUUUCUUUUUCAAGAUAAUUUAACUUGUUCUAUGUCAUUAAUGAGCAUUGGAGACAUACUUCUGUUUUCCCGUUGUUUUAAGUUUUAUGGAAUUUUGAAAUAUAUUUCCUUCCCAUUUCUCAUUCUUUACACCGUACAGCAAGGCCAGGAUACCAAAGGCCGGAAGAGUGUAGUACACCAGAGAAAUCAAAUCUCGAACAGGUGCCUCUGACCGAAAAUGGGUUAUUGUCACCAAAUUUUGUUAUGGAAGACCCAGAUUCUCACUUCAUAUACGUGUGUCAAAAAUUGGAUGACUCAGAUCCGAAUAACAUAGUGCCUCCAUAUCCGUUGAGCACAGAUGCGUUAUAGAAACAAAAACAAAGGUACCUUUACCUACUUCAUAUACAUUGAUUACAUGUUAUAUGCAUUGUUGUAAAAUGAUGUUCGUUGUAAAAGAGAAUUAAUAGACAUAAAAACACGUUGAAAUUAACACAUAAUUGAGGGGAUACCUUACCCUGAGUCUAGGUGGAGAUGGCUUCUUCGAACAUAGAAACAAAUCAUAUCACUGUGGCUAUUCAAACCAAAUGCCAAAUUCAUUACGACAUUGAACUGGCCAUGUUCUUUGUGCUUUCUCUUCUUCUUCUUCUUUUUUGGGGGUGGG
rnacentral:lncRNA from 1 species